GACGAACGCUGGCGGCGUGCUUAACACAUGCAAGUCGAACGGUGAACGAGGGAGCUUGCUCCCUCCGGAUCAGUGGCGAACGGGUGAGUAACACGUGAGCAAUCUGCCCCGAACUCUGGGAUAAGCGUUGGAAACGACGUCUAAUACCGGAUACGACGCGGGAGGGCAUCCUCUCCGCGUGGAAAGAACUUCGGUUCGGGAUGAGCUCGCGGCCUAUCAGCUUGUUGGUGAGGUAACGGCUCACCAAGGCGACGACGGGUAGCCGGCCUGAGAGGGUGACAGGCCACGCGGGGACGGAGACAGGGCCCAGCCCCCUCCGGGGGGCAGAAGGGGGAAAUAUUGCAGAGGGGGCCAAGCCCAGAGGCAGCAACGCCGCGGGAGGGAGGAGGGCCUUCGGGUUGUAACCCUUUUUUAGCGGGAAAGAAGAAAAGGGGAGGGUCCCGGAAAAAAAAGCCCCGGCAAACUACGGC
rnacentral:rRNA from 1 species